rnacentral:tRNA from 1 species
CUUCCAAUCAGUUAGUUUUGGU